GAUGAACGCUGGCGGCGUGCCUAAUACAUGCAAGUCGAGCGAACAGACGAGGAGCUUGCUCCUCUGACGUUAGCGGCGGACGGGUGAGUAACACGUGGAUAACCUACCUAUAAGACUGGGAUAACUUCGGGAAACCGGAGCUAAUACCGGAUAAUAUAUUGAACCGCAUGGUUCAAUAGUGAAAGACGGUUUUGCUGUCACUUAUAGAUGGAUCCGCGCCGCAUUAGCUAGUUGGUAAGGUAACGGCUUACCAAGGCGACGAUGCGUAGCCGACCUGAGAGGGUGAUCGGCCACACUGGAACUGAGACACGGUCCAGACUCCUACGGGAGGCAGCAGUAGGGAAUCUUCCACAAUGGGCGAAAGCCUGACGGAGCAACGCCGCGUGAGUGAUGAAGGUCUUCGGAUCGUAAAACUCUGUUAUUAGGGAAGAACAAAUGUGUAAGUAACUAUGCACGUCUUGAGGGUACCUAAUCAGAAAGCCACGGCUAACUACGUG
rnacentral:rRNA from 1 species